rnacentral:sRNA from 1 species
UUCUAAACCUGACAGCAGCGGCAGCCCCGAGUUUUUUCUGCGAGGGCUACAGCGAAUGGCAAGGCUGUAG